AUAGGAGCAUUCCAAUUGGUUGGAUACCUCGUCUGGAACGAGGAGGCUGCAGGUUCGAGUCCUGUCUCCUAUA
rnacentral:tRNA from 1 species